rnacentral:rRNA from 1 species
UAAUAGCUUACUGGUCGAGCAUUCUCGCGCCGAUAAUUAACGGGAAUAAGGCUUAAACCGAAGACGUAUCAUGUACCCGCCUGUGCGCGGGUACUUGGGUAGGGGAGCGCUCCAUAGGAGAUACAAGCGGGUUCGAAAGGACCCGUGGCGGCCUAUGGAGGUGAUUCUGCGGACACGAGUAGCGAUAAAGGGGGUGAGAAGCCCCCUCCCCGUAAGCAUAAGGUUUCCUGGGCCAGGUAACUCCGCCCAGGGUUAGUCGGGACCUAAGGCGAGGCCGAGAGGCGUAGCCGAUGGAAAGCCGGUUAAUAUUCCAGCACCACCAGAAAGCGUUGAAACUCAGCAUAACUCAGGUAGCCAAGGUCGGGGAAGCCUUUAGCUGGCUCCUCCAAGCGCAAACGACGUUGAAGGGCGGUGAAAACGCCCCGAGUCCGAAGCGCGAGUGCAAUCCGUGUGAAAACGGAGAAGCGAUCACAGCUAUACUGACGAGAAAAGUGCUGUGCCACAUAGCCCAAUGGUGCCCGUACCUCAAACUGACACUGGUAUGCGAGGCGAGUAGCCUAAGGGGCUCGAGAUAACUCUCGUGAAGGAACUCGGCAAAAUUGCUUCGUAACUUCGGGAGAAGAAGCGCCUGUGUAGGGGUGUUAAAGCCCCGAAAGGCCGCAGAGAAAUGGCCCAAGGAACUGUUUAUCAAAAACACAGGACUGCGCAAAGUCUUAAAGACGACGUAUGCAGUCUGACGCCUGCUCUGUGCCGGAAGGUUAAGGGAAGAUGUCAGGGGGUUCGCCUCCAAAGCAUUGAACCGAAGCCCCGGUUAACGGCGGCCGUAACUAUGACGGUCCUAAGGUAGCGAAAUUCCUUGUCGGGUAAGUUCCGACCUGCAUGAAUGGCGUAAUAACAGGGGUACUGUCUCCACGAGAGGCUCGGCGAAACUGUAGCAGUGGUGAAGAUGCCACUUACCCGCGACUAGACGGAAAGACCCUGUGGACCUUUACUGUACUCUACUAUUGGGUUUUUGUGCUCAUUGCGUAGGAUAGGUGGGAGACUUCGAAGUUCCGUUCUCGGACGGAAUGGAGUCACCGGUGAAAUACCACCCUUUGUGUAUGAAAAUUCUAACUCGGCUCCGUAAUCCGGACUGAGGACCGUGGUAGACGGGCAGUUUGACUGGGGCGGUCCCCUCCUAAAGAGUAACGGAGGGGCCCUAAGGCACGCUCAGCACGGUUGGCAAUCGUGCGUCGAGUGCAAGGGCAUAAGCGUGCUUAACUGCGAGAGAAAAACCUCAAGCAGAUACGAAAGUAGGGCUUAGUGAUCCGGCGGUGCAGUGUGGAAUGGCCGUCGCUCAACUGAUAAAAGGUACCCCGGGGAUAACAGGCUGAUCUCCCCCAAGCGUCCAUAGCGACGGGGAGGUUUGGCACCUCGAUGUCGACUCAUCGCAUCCUGGAGCUGCAAUCGGUUCCAAGGGUUCGGCUGUUCGCCGAUUAAAGCGGUACGUGAGUUGGGUUCAGACCGACGUGAGUCAGGUCGGUCCCUAUCUACAGUGGGCGUCGGAGAGUUGAGGAGAACUGGACCUAGUACGAGAGGAUUGGUUCGGACGCACCCCUGGUGUUCCAGUUGGCCCGACAGGGCCAUCGCUGGGUAGCUACGUGCGGACAGGAUAAGCGCUGAAAGCAUCUAAGCGCGAAGCCCACUCCAAGAUGAACUCUCCCUAUCAGGCUCGUUGGAGACUACAACGUUAAUAGGCCGGAGGUGUACGUGCAUAUAUUUAAAAGCACUCAGCUUACCGGUACUAAUCAGCCGAUUGACUUGACC